CCUACGGGUGGCUGCAGUGGGGAAUAUUGCACAAUGGGGGGAACCCUGAUGCAGCAAUGCCGCGUGGGUGAAGAAGCACUCCGGUGCGUAAAGCCCUGUCAGCAGGGAAGAAAAUGACAGUACCUGGACAAGAAGCCCCGGCUAACUACGUGCCAGCAGCCGCGGUAAUACGUAGGGGGCAAGCGUUAUCCGGAUUUACUGGGUGUAAAGGGAGCGUAGACGGUGCAGCAAGUCUGAUGUGAAAGGUCGGGGCCCAACCCCGGGACUGCAUUGGAAACUGUUGAACUGGAGUACAGGAGAGGUAAGCGGAAUUCGUAGUGUAGCGGUGAAAUGCGUAGAUAUUAGGAGGAACACCAGUGGCGAAGGCGGCUUACUGGACUGUAACUGACGUUGAGGCUCGAAAGCGUGGGGAGCAAACAGGAUUAGAUACCCCUGUAGUC
rnacentral:rRNA from 1 species